UACGGGGGGGGCAAGCGUUGUUCGGAAUUACUGGGCGUAAAGGGUUCGUAGGUGGCUUUCUAAGUCAGACGUGAAAUCCCUCAGCUUAACUGGGGAACUGCGUCUGAAACUGGCGAGCUUGAGUGCAGGAGAGGAACGCGGAAUUCCAGGUGUAGCGGUGAAAUGCGUAGAUAUCUGGAGGAACACCGGUGGCGAAGGCGGCAUCCUGGACCGGCAUUGACGCUGAGGCGCGAAAGCCAGGGGAGCAAACGGG
rnacentral:rRNA from 1 species